rnacentral:rRNA from 1 species
CUUCUUUUUGAAAAAUCUAGAGAAGAGCCUUCCCCUUCGGGGGACAAAGUGACAGGUGGUGCAUGGUUGUCGUCAGCUCGUGUCGUGAGAUGUUGGGUUAAGUCCCGCAACGAGCGCAACCCUUAAGCUUAGUUGCCAUCAUUAAGUUGGGCACUCUAGGUUGACUGCCGGUGACAAACCGGAGGAAGGUGGGGAUGACGUCAAAUCAUCAUGCCCCUUAUGAUUUGGGCUACACACGUGCUACAAUGGACAAUACAAAGGGCAGCUAAACCGCGAGGUCAUGCAAAUCCCAUAAAGUUGUUCUCAGUUCGGAUUGUAGUCUGCAACUCGACUACAUGAAGCUGGAAUCGCUAGUAAUCGUAGAUCAGCAUGCUACGGUGAAUACGUUCCCGGGUCUUGUACACACCGA